GCCGCCCACGCCGGCCGCCGGCGCUCGCCGCGGAUUGGGCUCGGCCCCAUGCGUGCAGCGCCUGGAGCUUGCCCCGAGAGCAGCAUCCAGGACUCGCCGCACGCACAAAAGCACCGCCUCGUCCGAAAUCAAGCGCCAGCAGCCCCGUCGCGGACGACGCCACCGAUAGCCUACACGAGCGCACAAUGAAGCGCGGUCGACGUUGCUGCACGGGCACGGACGGCUCGCACGGACUAGCCAUGCAUGCUGCCAUGCGCCCACGCUGCACGCCGACGUGGCCACUGAGCGCCUAUGCCAGCUAGCGACAGUCGCCUUGAAGUGCCUUCAACACCUCUACCCCCCUUAUAUAUGCUU
rnacentral:lncRNA from 1 species